AUCAGGCAGCAGUGAUGGGACCCAAAGCAUACAGAGACAAUGAGAAACGCAAUGAUGGCACCCUGGAAACCCUUUUUGAGUUCACUGCCUUUCUCACUAUCUCCAAAGGCUGCUGGGUUUGAUUUCCACCUACCCAAGAGCCUACCAAGGAUGUGCAGGUUGUUGGUUCCUUGUUUUAAUAUCUUUGGGAGUGACUGGAUCUUGGAAAGAGUGUGUCUUGUUCACCUAACACCCGAGGAUUGUGGCACUUGUGGAUGA
rnacentral:lncRNA from 1 species